UAGGAGCCGAUGAAGGACGUGAUAAGCUGCGAUAAGCUUCGGGGAGUUGCACGUAAACUUUGAUCCGAAGAUUUCCGAAUGAGGAAACUCACUUAGAGUAAUGUCUAAGUAUCAUUAAGUGAAUACAUAGCUUAAUGAGGGGAACUCAGGGAACUGAAACAUCUAAGUACCUGAAGGAAGAGAAAGAAAUUCGAUUCCGUAAGUAGCGGCGAGCGAACGCGGAUUAGCCCAAACCAAUAAAGUUUUCUUUAUUGGGGUUGCGGACAUAUCAUAACGAAGAGGUAUCGUAAUUGAAGAGGUUUGGAAAGACCCACCACAGAAGGUAAUAGUCCUGUAUGUUAAACGAGAAGACUUCAGAUAUGAUCCAGAGUACCACGGGACACGUGAAACCCUGUGGGAAGCAGGAGGGACCACCCUCCAAGGCUAAAUACUACCUAGUGACCGAUAGCGUAUAGUACCGUGAGGGAAAGGUGAAAAGAACCCCGGGAGGGGAGUGAAAUAGAACCUGAAACCCUGCACUUACAAGCUGUGGAAGCACAUUUCUUGUGUGACCGCGUACUUUUUGUAGAACGGGCCAACGAGUUACGUUAAGUAGCAAGGUUAAGCACUUAAGGUGUGGAGCCGUAGCGAAAGCGAGUUUUAACUGAGCGUUCAGUUACUUGACGUAGACCCGAAACCGGGCGACCUACCCAUGAGCAGGAUGAAGCGAAAGUAAAAUUUCGUGGAGGUCCGAACCCACGAGCGUUGAAAAGCUCGGGGAUGACUUGUGGGUAGCGGUGAAAUUCCAAUCGAGCCCGGAGAUAGCUGGUUCUCCCCGAAAUAGCUUUAGGGCUAGCCUCAAGGUGAGAGAUACGGAGGUAGAGCACUGAAUGUCCUAGGGGGUAUUGCACCUACCGAAGACUAUCAAACUCCGAAUGCCGUCAUCUUAUACUUGGGAGUCAGACUGUGGGUGAUAAGAUUCAUAGUCGAAAGGGCAACAGCCCAGAUCGUCAGCUAAGGUCCCUAAAUGUAAGUUAAGUGGUAAAGGAUGUGGGAUUGCACAGACAACCAGGAUGUUGGCUUAGAAGCAGCCACUCAUUCAAAGAGUGCGUAAUAGCUCACUGGUCGAGUGAUCCUGCGCCGAAGAUUUCCGGGGCUAAAACUUACUACCGAAGCUACGGCAUCAGUAAUGAUGGGUAGGGGAGCUUCCCAUACGGGUUGAAGCAUGACCGUAAGGACAUGUGGACAGUAUGGGAGUGAGAAUGUUGGCAUGAGUAGCGAGAUGUGGGUGAGAAUCCCACAGGCCGUAAACCCAAGGUUUCCAGGGGAAGGUUCGUCCGCCCUGGGUUAGUCGGGACCUAAGCUGAGGCCGAAAGGCGUAGGUGAUGGACAACAGGUUGAUAUUCCUGUACUACCGAUAACCGUUUGAGAGAAGGGAUGACACAGUAGGAUAAGCUAAGCACACUGUUGGUUAUGUGUGCCCAAGCAUUGAGGCAGUCAAAGUAGGCAAAUCCGCUUUGAUAAUGCUGGGAUGUGAUGGGGAGCGAAAUUUAGUAGCGAAGUAGCUGAUUUCACACUGUCAAGAAAAGUCUCUAUCGAGGUUAAAGGUACCCGUACCGCAAACCGACACAGGUGGGUGAGGAGAGUAUCCUAAGGCCAGCGAGAGAACUGUUGUUAAGGAACUCGGCAAAAUGACCCCGUAACUUAGGGAUAAGGGGUGCCACCAUCAGGUGGCCGCAGAGAAUAGGCCCAAGCGACUGUUUACCAAAAACAUAGGUUUCUGCUAAGUCGCAAGACGAUGUAUAGGAGCUGACGCCUGCCCGGUGCUGGAAGGUUAAGGGGAUCUGUUAGAGCAAUCGAAGCAGUGAACUUAAGCCCCAGUAAACGGCGGCCGUAACUAUAACGGUCCUAAGGUAGCGAAAUUCCUUGUCGGGUAAGUUCCGACCCGCACGAAAGGCGUAACGAUUUGGGCACUGUCUCAACAACAGACUCGGUGAAAUUGUAAUUCCGGUGAAGAUGCCGGAUACCUGCGACAGGACGGAAAGACCCCAUGGAGCUUUACUGUAGCUUGACAUUGGGUCUUGGUACUACAUGUACAGGAUAGGUGGGAGGCUUUGAAACCAGGACGCCAGUUUUGGCGGAGCCAUCCUUGGGAUACCACCCUUGUAGUACUGGGACUCUAACCAUAGGCCAUGAAUCUGGUCUUGGGACACUGUCAGGUGGGCAGUUUGACUGGGGCGGUCGCCUCCCAAAAGGUAACGGAGGCGCUCAAAGGUUCUCUCAGUACGGUCGGAAAUCGUACGUAGAGUGUAAAGGCAAAAGAGAGCUUGAUUGCAAGACAUACAGGUCGAGCAAGGAUGAAAAUCGGACUUAGUGAUCCGGUGGUUCUGCGUGGAAGGGCCAUCGCUCAACGGAUAAAAGCCUACCCUGGGGAUAACAGGCUUAUCUCCCCCAAGAGUCCACAUCGACGGGGAGGUUUGGCACCUCGAUGUCGGCUCAUCACAUCCUGGGGCUGUAGUAGGUCCCAAGGGUUGGGCUGUUCGCCCAUUAAAGUGGUACGCGAGCUGGGUUCAGAACGUCGUGAGACAGUUCGGUCCCUAUCCGUCGCAGGCGUAGGAAAUUUGAGAAGACCUGUCCUUAGUACGAGAGGACCGGGAUGGACGUACCUCUGGUGUACCAGUUGUUCUGCCAAGGGCAUGGCUGGGUAGCUAUGUACGGAAUGGAUAAGCGCUGAAAGCAUCUAAGCGCGAAGCCAACUUCAAGAUAAGAUUUCCCACCGCAAGGGUAAGACCCCAGAAAGACUAUCUGGUUGAUAGGUCGAAGGUGUAAGUGCAGCAAUGUAUUUAGCUUAUCGAUACUAAUAGGUCGAGGACUUGACCAA
rnacentral:rRNA from 1 species